AUAAUAAAUCCUUGACAAGAUAAAACAGCAGUUAGGCUUAUCCUUCCCUUCUCCGUGAGUCUCUCGCUCUCUCUCCAGUGGAAGUAAGAAAGAGCCUCUGCUGCUCCUGCUCUAACUCUCGAGGUUUUACUUUAUCUAUAAGAACAAGAAGGAGGAGGAUAAAAAGGCACAGCAAGAAGAAUAACCAGUGAAUAAGGAAUGGCAGUACAGCUCCACCAUUUGCUUUCACCCAUUAGAGAAUUCAAAGACUUUCCUUCAUUUCCUUUUAUCACUGCUCAUUCCGAAUCCAAACCAACCACCUACACUGAGGUUUCUUCCACUUAUUCUUGUCUCUCAUCCAAGUUUUUAAAGUACCCUUCUCAGCUACAUGGUGGUGGUUUUCAAAGUAGUAUUAGUAGAGCUUCCCGAAGAGAUGAAAGAGUCUUGUCUGAUGAUGGGAAGAAAAAACGACGAGAAGAAUUUAGUGACAGCGAUGAUGAUGAUGAUGAUUACUCGUCGAGAAAAGGUAAGGUGAAUGACCCCUAUCUUAUGGAUGCUGAAGAGAGACGGGAGUGGAGAAUGAAAAUUAGAGAAGUGAUGAAAAAGUAUCCUGAUGUGGAUGAGGAUGAGGAGCUUGAUUCUGAAGAAAAGAGGAUGAGAAUGGAAAAGCUUUUGGCUGAUUACCCCCUUAUUGUGGAUGAGGAUGAUCCUGAUUGGCCUGAAGAUGCUGAUGGGCGGGGCUUCGGUUUGGAUCAAUUCUUCAACAAGAUUACUAUCAAGAAUAAGAAGAAGGAUGAUGAUGAUGAGAAUUAUGAUAGUGAUAAAGAGAUUGUGUGGCAAGAUGAUGAUUACAUCCGUCCAAUAAAAGACAUUACCACUGCAGGAUGGGAGGAGGCUGUAUUCAAAGACAUUAGUCCUUUGAUUGUCUUAGUACAUAAUCGCUAUAAAAGACCAAAGGAAAAUGAAAAAAUUCGAGAUGCACUGGAGAAGGCUGUGCACAUCAUUUGGAAUUGCAGACUACCUUCACCAAGAUGUGUUGCGAUUGAUGCUGUUGUUGAGACUGAUUUGGUCUCUGCUCUAAAAGUUUCUGUCUUCCCAGAAAUUAUUUUUACUAAAGCAGGAAAGAUCUUGCACCGUGAGAAAGCCAUUCGAACUGCAGAUGAAUUUUCAAAAAUAAUGGCAUUCUUCUAUUAUGGAGCUGGCAAGCCACCUUGUUUGAAUGACAUUGGAGAUAGCCAGGAAUUGAUCCCAUCUGUUCAUGACAUCACUCGUUGUGAACACCACAAGAGCAGAAGGCUUUGUGAUAGUGGAAGCGAAAGGCAAAGAGCUGACUGCAAGGCUCCUGCAAUAAGGGUGUCAUCAAAUGCUGUCAUAUGGGGGUAGGCUUCACUUGCGGGACAUUUAUUUGUGUCUCUCUUUGAACACUGGCGGCAAAGGUUAUCACUCUUCAAUCCAUCUACACGAGAACGAGUCAAAGCCAGGACGAGCAGGAAGACAGAUAAGCAGCAUCUAUCCAUGUAUACAAUCUUCGCAAUUGCCUGUCAUCUAGUGAACAUUGAAAGUCAUAUUAGAUGACCAUCAACGAAAACAUUCAUGAUAUUGCAAUAUGCAUAUGCAGUUCUCAGAACUAUACUUGGAGGGCCGCUGCAGCUGCAAUGGAUUCAGUGCUGAAAAACUUUAAAGAAGGAGAGCAAGGUGUCAGCUGUACCCUUUUCUUUAAUUUCUAGUUUUAGAUUCCUUUUGUUUUCUGUGUAAUUUUCCAAGCCUUGAUGCGUGGAUCAUUGUCACAUCACACCCAAUCAAAGGAGAUGAGCUUAAACAUCACCAUAACAAAGGUUUUUUAUCUAGAUUUUUUUGUUUUUCAUUAGUUGGGAUAACAUUGUACUGGCAUUUGAGCUGUGUUGCAAAGGCGUACGCUUCCUUUCGUACCCUGAUGGGACCCUGUCUCGGGAUUUUGUUUCUCAAGUAAUAAGAUUUGAAGAAGGAUACAUUGUUUCAUGCAAGAAAA